AGAAAGUUGCAGCAGAUCUCUUUUAUUGUGGUGGGAAGGAUUAUCUGGUGAUUGUAGAUUAUCUCUCCAACUAUCCGGAAGUAUGCUCAUUGACAGAUACGUCGUCUCGUCGAGUCAUCACCGCCAUGAAAACAGUGUUUGCUCGCCAUGGUAUCCCAGACGAGAUGUUUCAGAUGGUUCCCCACCAGUUGGAGAAGUUUCGUACUUGAGAGGGGAGAUGUAAUGAUAAGAGACUUGCACACAGUCUACAUGUAUACUGAGCCAGGCGAGCCGGACCGGCCCCCUACCCGGAUGUGCCUGCCUCGCACAUGCUUCUCGCGAACCGUGUCACCUUGUACACAUCGCAUUCAGUGUCUCAAUUAAACUUGUGCUGUUCA